UACGGAGGGUGCGAGCGUUGUCCGGAAUCACUGGGCGUAAAGGGCGCGUAGGCGGCUCGUUAAGUGGCUGGUGAAAUCCCGGGGCUCAACUCCGGGGCUGCCGGUCAUACUGGCGGGCUGGAGCACGGUAGAGGCGGAUGGAAUUCCCGGUGUAGCGGUGGAAUGCGUAGAUAUCGGGAAGAAUACCGGUGGCGAAGGCGGUCCGCUGGGCCGUUGCUGACGCUGAGGCGCGACAGCGUGGGGAGCAAACAGG
rnacentral:rRNA from 1 species